rnacentral:piRNA from 1 species
UGGACUGGUGAACAUGAUGUGCCACUAGG